rnacentral:rRNA from 1 species
GUAUGGAAGCAUCAAGCCGCUGCUAUCUUCGAUGGCCUCACGCCCUGCUUGGCUGAUCUGGUUCGUACCAUCAAGGAUGAGGCGCGCUGCUGGGCCGCGGCUGGCGCCACGGGACUUAGCUCGAUCAUGCCAACCCAAGCUUUCUUUGGUCGAUAA